UCGCCAUUUUGAGAGUGGCUGGUCAUGGAGAAGCAGAGCUCAGAAGAGCAUAAGCACUUGCUUGAUUUGAUCAACAGGGAAGCAUAAGGCUGGCUCAGAUAUUAGCUCUUCUACUCCCCUCAUUGCAGAUUACCUUCGGUUUGCCUUUGAUUCGAUGCCUGCUAUGCUCCUAUCAAUGCAUCUUGUUCCAAAACUAAGAAUACUGAAUUUGCUAU